GCCGGGUGUGGUGGCGGGUACCUGUAAUCCCAGCUACUUGGGAGGCUGAGGCAGGAGGAUCACUUGAACCUGGGAGCUGGAGGUUGCAAUGAGCCAUUAUCACACCGCUGUACUCCAGCCUGGGUGACAAAGUGAGACUCUGUCUCAA
rnacentral:SRP_RNA from 1 species